rnacentral:lncRNA from 1 species
GCUCUGGUGCCGCUUCCUCCUCGAUGCUGCGCAAACCGGCCUACAUAACAAGAAACUGACUUGUUCUGAGGGCCGAAGAUGAAGAAGGAGCUGGCUUCAGGCAUGGGCACCACAGUCUCUUUUAACUGCAGGUCAGCCAUGGGUCUGGGUCUGGGGCUGAUCGGGAUCUCUGGUUCCUCUUCUUCAUCAUCACCUGAGCGGAAGAGAAGGAAUACAGCUUGGUCAAAGGACUUUGGCAUACACAGAUUUAGUUCAACGCUCUCUUUCUACGCUAACAGGCCAUAUCAACCUAAUUCUGCAUAUGCCUCCUGAGAUUUUCUCCCUGCUCCUGUUUCAUGGCUUAGAAUCUGAGGAAUGGACGGCCCACCAAUGCAAGUCACUGUAAACCCCGGGCAGUCAAUAAGUGAGUGAGGCUCAGAUUUGUGCCAUGUGAAAUGUAAUAACGCCCUAUGUUCUGAGACGAGAGAAUAUGACUACAUACGCUAGUGGAAAGAGUGUUUGACCUACAUACCACCAAUGAAGCUUGAGUCAUGAUAUAAGCUUGCGUAAAGAGGAUUGGGC